CAGUGGCCUAGUGGUUAGGGUACUCACCUUGGAUGCAGGAGGUUGCUGGUUUGAACCCCAGCCAUGUCGU